GCCGCUGCCCCCCUCCCCCCGCCCCCGCAAGGCCACCAGGUGCUGUGAGGCCGCGCUCAGAUGGCCUGUCCCUGUGCUCAUGGCAGGAUCAGUCCCCAGAGCAGUGUGGGGGCAGCGCCCCCAGUGUCCCCGAAGGAGAGUGCUGCAGGGCGGGCACCUUCCUGACCACCAACACCUGCGCCUGGAAUAAUCCUACUCCACACGUGCUUGUGGAACGAGGAGGGCGAGACAGAGGAGGAAGGAAUCAGCAGCCACUUCCACACGCGCCCCCGCAGGAGCGGGCCCAGGAGUGCCCCUCCCUCCUCGUGGCCUGGGGCAGGUGGCUGGGGUAGCCCGGAAGUCUCCCCCCAACACCUGAGCAGGUGGAGUUGAGAGGGACUCAGACUUGAUUUGAGCAGCUGGCAGCCUCCCGCCGUGGGGACCUGUGAGGACAAGUGGCUGCUCCCGGGAUUCCUGUGCACAGGCUGUGCCCGUCUGCCUGGCAGAGCAAAGGAGGGCUUGGGGGUCUCGCCGGAGUCCUAGGCUGGGGCGGGGCUGCCGCCUGAACUCGGGGGUGCGCCUCGAAGGUCUUCGGAUCUGGGGUCAGUGCUGAAGCUGGUUCUGUGUCAGACGCAGCCAGGAAGUCACUGAAACCUGACUGCCGGCUUCCAGAAGAUGCUCCAUCCUGUGGGUCCCCGCUGACCCCCUCCACCAGC